rnacentral:rRNA from 1 species
GAUGAACGCUGGCGGCGUGCCUAAUACAUGCAAGUCGAGCGAACAGACGAGGAGCUUGCUCCUCUGACGUUAGCGGCGGACGGGUGAGUAACACGUGGAUAACCUACCUAUAAGACUGGGAUAACUUCGGGAAACCGGAGCUAAUACCGGAUAAUAUAUUGAACCGCAUGGUUCAAUAGUUAAAGACGGUUUUGCUGUCACUUAUAGAUGGAUCCGCGCCGCAUUAGCUAGUUGGUAAGGUAACGGCUUACCAAGGCAACGAUGCGUAGCCGACCUGAGAGGGUGAUCGGCCACACUGGAACUGAGACACGGUCCAGACUCCUACGGGAGGCAGCAGUAGGGAAUCUUCCGCAAUGGGCGAAGGCCUGACGGAGAAACGCCGCGUGAGUGAUGAAGGUCUUCGGAUCGUAAAACUCUGUUAUUAGGGAAGAACAAAUGUGUAAGUAACUAUGCACGUCUUGACGGUACCUGAUCAGAAAGCCACGGCUAACUACGUG